GUACCCACUAGUAGAGUACUGUUAGCACUCCAGACUCUGAAUCUGGCGACCUGGGUUCAAAUCCCAGUAGAACCU